rnacentral:rRNA from 1 species
UACGUAGGGACCGAGCGUUGUCCGGAUUCAUUGGGCGUAAAGAGCUCGUAGGCGGCUGUUCAAGUCGAACGUGAAAACUCGGAGCUCAACUCCGAGCCUGCGUUCGAUACUGGACGGCUAGAGUCUGGUAGGGGGAUCUGGAAUUCCUGGUGUAGCGGUGGAAUGCGCAGAUAUCAGGAGGAACACCGGUGGCGAAGGCGGGUCUCUGGGAAGUAACUGACGCUGAGAAGCGAAAGCAUGGGGUAGCAAACAGG